GGGAAAGGGGGUGGGGACGGAGGCAGAGCAUGUGUGGGCAAAGUCACGAAGGGGGAGAGUGACCGAGGGCCACCACGGCCACCACAGCUCCUCCAGCCUGCUGGUGCCCCACUGCGUCCGGCUGCCACUCAUUCUGCGCCACCAGCAUCUUCUGGACGAGGAGCCAGGCUCUCCGCCCGCCACCCUUGAUUGGAGAAAAGAGGCCCUGAUGUCAUCCCCAGCAUCAGCCAUCUGCCUGCCACCAGCACGGGAGGCGUCUCAGCAGCCCCCUCCCAGGGGCCUUCUUUCUCGGCUUACGGAAUGGAGGGAAAAGCGUGAACAUCGAGAAACAGCAGACAAGCGACCCCCAGGCCUAGCGAAGGAGUUGUCUUCACUGAUUGGGAGCGCCAGCCUCGAAGCCAGAUACAUUGGCACAAUUGUCGAGAUCACGUCUGGAUGACCUGAGCCGUAUUCGAGCUUCUUUGGCAUUUAAUGAACAAAAUUUCCUCCAAAGGCUUACAGUCCGAGAUUAGGAAAGCUAGCACUGAACUCUGUUUAGCUGAUUUACAGGCUGUCAGUUAAGGGGGCAGGCCCCCAAAUUCUCCCAAACUCAGAAAAGUGUCAAAGACCCACACCUGCAAUAUGCCCUCAUGCAAACUAGAAAGGCACACUGGUACGUCUCAUCUGUCAAAUGAGGGCAUUUGACAGAUGGUCUUCCUAGCGACUCACUCUGACUGUAAAAUUCCACGAAUGGACAUAUCUAGAAAUCUAGGGACCAGAUCACAUCAUCCCAAGGGGACAACUAUACCGGAAACACACACUUACUAAUGGCUCUGAAGCAUUAAACGAAGCCUGUCCUAUGGCUCAUACAGUCUGGCUUUGAAUCCGAUUCUUUACGCAAAGAACCCAACUGUAAGUCAAUGUUCUGAGGCUGUCAGAAAGACUGACCUGUCUCUCUCCCUAAUUCCAUCUCUCUUCCUGAGCCAUCCUUGGCUAAGCGGUAUUUCCCAGGUGUGCUGGACCCCAGCAGCUCCCUGGUGCACCUGUAGUUCCAGGCCUUUCCCCAAAACUCUGAUGGCGUUGGUCUGUGUUAGGGCCCAGAAAUCCAUAUUGCUAUCAAGCUGCUUUGAGAGUUCCUGAUUCUGAUGAUUAGACAAACACGGAAAAUCUUGAAUCAACGAUCCUGCCGGCGACCACAGCUGCCCCUUCCCUCCGGGGACAUGAAAUCAAAGGAUGACUCACGAUCACGGCGGGCGACCCUUCCUGGAGCACCGACGGAACGAGUCCCAACAGAACGAGUCCGGGUUAUCUGUGAAGUGUCCACACCAGGGACGCGGGAACACGAUGACCCAUAAAUCAGCCGAGAGGGAUUCUCGAAGUAAAACCUAUCUCAGUCGCUUACAUCGGAUGUACUCCAGUGCCAUUGCUAACAUGGAGUUCUCCAGGAGACUGCUGGAGAGAAGCGGCCAGUUUACAGACGCGGACUCGGAGAGCAGAACCCGAGGGCUGUUUAACAGGCAAAACGUAACAUUUGCUUCUGAACGCUGGACCACGUGUUCCCCAGUGGACACAGGCAGCGUGGAGAGCAGCCCCAGGAGAGGAUGGGGCGCCCCCGGCCGGCGGGUCUGGGGCCUCGGCCAGGAGUCCAGCCUCCCCUCAGCUUCCUGAGAUGCGACAGCCUGGCCAGUGGGACAAAAGAUUCCAAUCAAAGGACAAGAGGACACCACACAGCCCUGGGCGGCAUGAUUAACUUACCAGAACACACGAGGGGUGAACCUGCCUCUCCAGGGAUGACCACAGCCCCAGGGACCACAGCACCCCUGACCCUGGAACAAGCCAUUCAGAUGCACCGUGUUGUGGAGGCUAAGACAGCAAGUCGAUAUUGGACUAACUACGUGGAUUAAGAAUGAGACUACAGUAUCCUAUUUAGAUGAAAAGAAUGAAGAAAUGUUGAAACUCCCAAAGAAAUAAUUAAAUGGCAGAUUUCUGCUUCUUUAAUUCAAAAUUAUGAAAACAAUGAUGACCCAGCAAGUAUAUAAUAAUAUAUUUAUUAGAAAUGUGAGAUUUUCAUGCAGAAACCCAGAACCAUGAAUGAGAACCAGUAGAAAUAAGAGUCAGCAGAAUUAUGUUCACAAAAAAUCAAGAUAAUGGAAGUUAGCAGAUGUAGAAAUACAAUAAUAAGAUUAAUAUGGUCAAAUAAACUUUACAAAGAAAUUUUAAAUUACUAAUAAAGAGUAUACUAUGAAAAUGGAUGAAACGUUUGAAAGAACUGCAAUUUUUAGAGUGGAAAACAUAGUAAGUAAAAGUAUUUAACAAGUGGGUUAAAGAGUAGAUUAGGCAUACGUGAAGAUAGAAUUAGUGAACUAUGUAGAUCAAGGGGAAUUAUCCAGAAUCUAGCACAGAGAAACAGAGUGAUGGAAUACAUAACAAAGAAAUAAAGAGCUAUAGAGGGUAGAGUAAGAAAGUGCAACAUUCAUUUAAACACAGUUCCAGGAAGAGUAAUCAAGAGAACGAAGAAGAAGCAGUAUUAGAAGAGAAAAUUCUAAAAUGCCAGAACUGAUGAAAGACACCAAUCCUCAGAUUUAGGGAUCUCAAAAAACCACAAGAGCAAUAGAAUAAAAAAACAAAACAAAACAAAAACAAAAAAACUAAACACCAAAUGUAAGGUGAAGUCCUUUAAAGAAGCCAGAGAGAAAAGACAAGUCACCUACAAAAGAAAAGCAAUUUGAAACCCAGAUGACAUUUCUAUAGAAACAGUCAGCAAAUCCUAGGAAAGCUAUUUUAGUAAAAAGAAAUACAAAAUGCAAAUAGUCCUACAAUUAUUAAAUGAAUUGAAUCCAUAAUUUAAAAACCUUCCCACAAAGAAAAUAAGAAAAACUCUAGGCCCAUAUGGUUUCACUGGUGAAUUUCAAACAAAUAGUUAGGGAAAAAGUAAUGUCAUCUUUUCUAAGUAAAUUCUUCCAGAAAUGGAAAAAGAGGGCAUAUCUCCUGUUUCUUUUUGUAAUGCCUGCAUAAUCUAAAAGGAAAAAACAGGCUGAUCUCACUCAGGAAUGUAGUUGCAAAAUUUUAAAACAAAAUAUUAACAAACUGAACUCUAAUAUUUUGUUCAUUUUAGUAAUUUCUGCUCAUAAUGAAAAUAUAGCAAAUUCCAAAUAAAAAGGAAAAAUUUAAAUCUGGCAAUGUGUUUUUAAAAAUAUUUGUAAGUAAACAAUGUACUGGGAUUCCCUUCGUGUCUCAGCAGUUAACGAACCUGACUAGCAUCCACUUGUAUGCGUGUUUGAUCCCUGGCCUCUCUCAUUGGGUUAAGUAUGCAGCGUCGCAGUGAGCUGUGAUGUAGGUCACAGAUGAGGCUCGGAUUUGGCUUUGCUGUGGCUGUGGUGUAGGCCAGCGGCUGUAGCUCUGAUUCGACCCCUGGCCUGGGAACCUCCAUAUGCCACGGGGGUGGCCUUAAAAAAAAAAAAAAAUAUAUAUAUAUAUAUAUAUAUAUAUAUAUAUAUAUAUAUACACACAGACACACACUUAAUGUUGAAAUACUGAAAUCUUUCCUUUUAAACAAUAGAAAAAGCUGCCUAUUUUUUCCUAUUUCUAUUGAAGCUUGGACUGGAAGUUUGAGAAGUAUAAUAAUAAGCUAUAAAAAGAAAUAAAAUCCGUAAAGCUUGUAAAAGAUAGAAAACUGUCUUUUUUUUUAAAUAGAAAAGUCCCAACACAGAAAAAGCAAGUGAAUAAUUAUAAAUUUCUGGAAAAUGCUUACUUUUAAG
rnacentral:lncRNA from 1 species